rnacentral:rRNA from 1 species
UACGAAGGGUGCAAGCGUUAAUCGGAAUUACUGGGCGUAAAGGGUGCGUAGGCGGUUCGUUAAGUCUGUCGUGAAAUCCCCGGGCUCAACCUGGGAAUGGCGAUGGAUACUGGCGAGCUAGAGUGUGUCAGAGGAUGGUGGAAUUCCCGGUCUAGCGGUGAAAUGCGUAGAGAUCGGGAGGAACAUCAGUGGCGAAGGCGGCCAUCUGGGACAACACUGACGCUGAAGCACGAAAGCGUGGGGAGCAAACAGG